rnacentral:rRNA from 1 species
UGGGGAAUAUUGGACAAUGGGCGAAAGCCUGAUCCAGCCAUGCCGCGUGUGUGAAGAAGGUCUUCGGAUUGUAAAGCACUUUAAGCUGGGAGGAAGGGCAGUAAGCGAAUACCUUGCUGUUUUGACGUUACCGACAGAAUAAGCACCGGCUAACUCUGUGCCAGCAGCCGCGGUAAUACAGAGGGUGCAAGCGUUAAUCGGAAUUACUGGGCGUAAAGCGCGCGUAGGUGGUUCGUUAAGUUGAAUGUGAAAGCCCCGGGCUCAACCUGGGAACUGCAUCCAAAACUGGCUAGCUAGAGUAGGGCAGAGGAUGGUGGAAUUUCCUGUGUAGCGGUGAAAUGCGUAGAUAUAGGAAGGAACACCAGUAGCGAAGGCGACCACCUGGGCUCAAACUAACACUGAGGUGCGAAAGCGUGGGGAGCAAGCAGG